rnacentral:rRNA from 1 species
UACGUAGGGUGCGAGCGUUGUCCGGAAUUAUUGGGCGUAAAGAGUCUGUAGGCGGUCUGUCGCGUCUGCUGUGAAAAUCCGGGGCUCAACCCCGGACUUGCAGUGGGUACGGGCAGACUAGAGUGUGGUAGGGGAGACUGGAAUUCCUGGUGUAGCGGUGAAAUGCGCAGAUAUCAGGAGGAACACCGAUGGCGAAGGCAGGUCUCUGGGCCACUACUGACGCUGAGAAGCGAAAGCAUGGGGAGCGAACAGG